GCUAGGCGUGGUGGCGGGCGCCUGUGAUCCCAACUACUCAGGAGGCUGGGGCAGCAGAAUCGCUUGAACCCGGGAGGCGAAGGUUGCAGUGAGC
ensembl:miRNA